CCGACCUGAGAGGGUGAUCGGCCACACUGGAACUGAGACACGGUCCAGACUCCUACGGGAGGCAGCAGUAGGGAAUCUUCCGCAAUGGGCGAAAGCCUGACGGAGCAACGCCGCGUGAGUGAUGAAGGUCUUCGGAUCGUAAAGCUCUGUUGUUAGGGAAGAACAAAUGUGUAAGUAACUGUGCACAUCUUGACGGUACCUAACCAGAAAGCCACGGCUAACUACGUGCCAGCAGCCGCGGUAAUACGUAGGUGGCAAGCGUUAUCCGGAAUUAUUGGGCGUAAAGCGCGCGUAGGCGGUUUUUUAAGUCUGAUGUGAAAGCCCACGGCUCAACCGUGGAGGGUCAUUGGAAACUGGAAAACUUGAGUGCAGAAGAGGAAAGUGGAAUUCCAUGUGUAGCGGUGAAAUGCGCAGAGAUAUGGAGGAACACCAGUGGCGAAGGCGGCUUUCUGGUCUGCAACUGACGCUGAUGUGCGAAAGCGUGGGGAUCAAACAGGAUUAGAUACCCUGGUAGUCCACGCCGUAAACGAUGAGUGCUAAGUGUUAGGGGGUUUCCGCCCCUUAGUGCUGCAGCUAACGCAUUAAGCACUCCGCCUGGGGAGUACGGUCGCAAGACUGAAACUCAAAGGAAUUGACGGGGACCCGCACAAGCGGUGGAGCAUGUGGUUUAAUUCGAAGCAACGCGAAGAACCUUACCAAAUCUUGACAUCCUUUGACCGCUCUAGAGAUAGAGUUUUCCUCUUCGGAGGACAAAGUGACAGGUGGUGCAUGGUUGUCGUCAGCUCGUGUCGUGAGAUGUUGGGUUAAGUCCCGCAACGAGCGCAACCCUUGAACUUAGUUGCCAUCAUUCAGUUGGGCACUCUAAGUUGACUGCCGGUGACAAACCGGAGGAAGGUGGGGAUGACGUCAAAUCAUCAUGCCCCUUAUGAUUUGGGCUACACACGUGCUACAAUGGACAAUACAAAGGGCAGCGAAACCGCGAGGUCAAGCAAAUCCCAUAAAGUUGUUCUCAGUUCGGAUUGUAGUCUGCAACUCGACUACAUGAAGCUGGAAUCGCUAGUAAUCGUAGAUCAGCAUGCUACGGUGAAUACGUUCCCGGGUCUUGUACACACCGCCCGUCACACCACGAGAGUUUGUAACACCCGAAGCCGGUGGAGUAACCAUUUUGGAGCUAGCCGUCGAAGGUGGGACAAAUGAUUGGGGUGAAGUCGUAACAAGGUAGCCGUAUCGGAAGGUGCGGCUGGAUCACCUCCUUU
rnacentral:rRNA from 1 species